CAUGCACCACAACGGGAGCCCACACAAGGCAACGGAGGCCCAUGCACCACAAUGGAGGCCCACGCACCACAACGGAGGCCCACACCAGGCAACAGAGGCCCACGCACCGCAACGGGGGCCCACGCACAGCAACGGAGGCCCACACAAAGCAACAGAGGCCCAUGGCACAGCAACGGGGUCCCACGCACAGCAACGGGGGCCCAGUGAAGCCAUUUAUAAAUAAAUCUUACCAAAAAAAUAAGUGUUAGGUCAGUAGGCAUUUUCCCUGCAGCUCACAAAGAGGGAUGAUGUCACAAUAACUUAAGGAAGGGAACAACCCUCGGCCACCUUGGCGGGGGCUCAGCCUGCCCACCGCGAGGCCCUCGCAACAGCUGGGCUGGGCCCAGAAGCGACACGCUCGCACACUCUGAAAAGCAUCAAUCCUAGGACACCUACAACACACGUCUCCUUCUGGGAGGUCCACGUGAACCUCCCCAGGUCAAAGAAGGAGGUCUUUUUCUAAAGAGUCAGUCCACUUAACAAUGACAGAAACUAGGCCUUUUUCUGUUUUGCCUCUGGGAGUUAAGAGUGCUAUAUAUCAUAUUUCGCAUGGGGCUUCUGAGAUAUUUGAACAAGACUGCGGAAUUCACGUAACCAUUAACCUACAACUGUUCAACGACAACCCACAAGCUCAAAGACUUGCAGAGGCCUUGAACUUCAUGUCAAGUCUUCUGCAUACCACUUCUUUCUAGUUAAAACUUAGAAGAAAAAAAAAAAAAGGUUGGACUAUUGACUCAAUAAUAAAAAUUGGAUCACAUCUUAAACUAGAGAGCAUCUGUGUUUGCAUUCCCAGAUUCUUUAUCGUAAUAUGUUGAUGCUUGAAAAUUUAUCAGAUGCUGUAAAACAAGUCAUUAAGCAGAGAACAGUUCUGCGCCCUGGCGCUCUCUGACCCUUUGUAACCCUGUUAUAGUACCGAAGUGUUUCUAACAAACAAAAGAGAAAUUAGCUCUUUUGUUCUCAGGACUGUCAAGCAGGUUAGUUCAUCUAACAUAGUCCUUUAUUAAUAAAUGGCACAGAUUUUCAUGCUAGCGUAGCUAAAGCAAAUCACA
ensembl:lncRNA